rnacentral:tRNA from 1 species
GCCUGGGUGGCUCAGUCGGUUAAGUGCCUGACUUCGGCUCAGGUCAUGAAUGAUCUCACGACUCGUGAGUUCGAGCCCCACAUCAGGCU